rnacentral:rRNA from 1 species
GACGAACGCUGGCGGCGUGCUUAACACAUGCAAGUCGAACGGAAAGGCCCUGCUUUUGUGGGGUGCUCGAGUGGCGAACGGGUGAGUAACACGUGAGUAACCUGCCCUUGACUUUGGGAUAACUUCAGGAAACUGGGGCUAAUACCGGAUAGGAGCUCCUGCUGCAUGGUGGGGGUUGGAAAGUUUCGGCGGUUGGGGAUGGACUCGCGGCUUAUCAGCUUGUUGGUGGGGUAGUGGCUUACCAAGGCUUUGACGGGUAGCCGGCCUGAGAGGGUGACCGGCCACAUUGGGACUGAGAGACGGCCCAGACUCCUACGGGAGGCAGUAGUGGGAAAUAUUGCACAAUGGGCGGAAGCCUGAUGCAGCAACGCCGCGUGCGGGAUGACGGCCUUCGGGUUGUAAACCGCUUUCGCCUGUGACGAAGCGUGAGUGACGGUAAUGGGUAAAGAAGCACCGGCUAACUACGUG